rnacentral:rRNA from 1 species
GCUUUCACCUGCACACCCACUGAAGCUAAGCAGGGUUGAGCCUGGUCAGUACCAGGAUGGGAGAUGUCCUGGGAAGACCGGUCGCC